rnacentral:rRNA from 1 species
CCCUUUGGGGUGUGACUGCGUACCUUUUGUAUAAUGGGUCAGCGACUUAUAUUCUGUAGCAAGGUUAACCGAAUAGGGGAGCCGGAGGGAAACCGAGUCUUAAUUGGGCGUUAAGUUGCAGGGUAUAGACCCGAAACCCGGUGAUCUAGCCAUGGGCAGGUUGAAGGUUGGGUAACACUAACUGGAGGACCGAACCGACUAAUGUUGAAAAAUUAGCGGAUGACCUGUGGCUGGGGGUGAAAGGCCAAUCAAACCGGGAGAUAGCUGGUUCUCCCCGAAAGCUAUUUAGGUAGCGCCUCGUGAAUUCAUCUCCGGGGGUAGAGCACUGUUUCGGCUAGGGGGCCAUCCCGGCUUACCAACCCGAUGCAAACUGCGAAUACCGGAGAAUGUUAUCACGGGAGACACACGGCGGGUGCUAACGUCCGUCGUGAAGAGGGAAACAACCCAGACCGCCAGCUAAGGUCCCAAAGUCAUGGUUAAGUGGGAAACGAUGUGGGAAGGCCCAGACAGCCAGGAUGUUGGCUUAGAAGCAGCCAUCAUUUAAAGAAAGCGUAAUAGCUCACUGGUCGAGUCGGCCUGCGCGGAAGAUGUAACGGGGCUAAACCAUGCACCGAAGCUGCGGCAGCGACACUCAGGUGUUGUUGGGUAGGGGAGCGUUCUGUAAGCCUGCGAAGGUGGCCUGUGAGGGUUGCUGGAGGUAUCAGAAGUGCGAAUGCUGACAUAAGUAACGAUAAAGCGGGUGAAAAGCCCGCUCGCCGGAAGACCAAGGGUUCCUGUCCAACGUUAAUCGGGGCAGGGUGAGUCGACCCCUAAGGCGAGGCCGAAAGGCGUAGUCGAUGGGAAACGGGUUAAUAUUCCCGUACUUGGUGUUACUGCGAAGGGGGGACGGAGAAGGCUAUGUUGGCCGGGCGACGGUUGUCCCGGUUUAAGCGUGUAGGCUGGUUUUCCAGGCAAAUCCGGAAAAUCAAGGCUGAGGCGUGACGACGAGGCACUACGGUGCUGAAGCAACAAAUGCCCUGCUUCCAGGAAAAGCCUCUAAGCAUCAGGUAACACGAAAUCGUACCCCAAACCGACACAGGUGGUCAGGUAGAGAAUACCAAGGCGCUUGAGAGAACUCGGGUGAAGGAACUAGGCAAAAUGGUGCCGUAACUUCGGGAGAAGGCACGCUGACAUGUAGGUGAAGUGAUUUACUCAUGGAGCUGAAGUCAGUCGAAGAUACCAGCUGGCUGCAACUGUUUAUUAAAAACACAGCACUGUGCAAACACGAAAGUGGACGUAUACGGUGUGACGCCUGCCCGGUGCCGGAAGGUUAAUUGAUGGGGUCAGCGCAAGCGAAGCUCCUGAUCGAAGCCCCGGUAAACGGCGGCCGUAACUAUAACGGUCCUAAGGUAGCGAAAUUCCUUGUCGGGUAAGUUCCGACCUGCACGAAUGGCGUAAUGAUGGCCAGGCUGUCUCCACCCGAGACUCAGUGAAAUUGAACUCGCUGUGAAGAUGCAGUGUACCCGCGGCAAGACGGAAAGACCCCGUGAACCUUUACUAUAGCUUGACACUGAACAUUGAGCCUUGAUGUGUAGGAUAGGUGGGAGGCUUUGAAGUGUGGACGCCAGUCUGCAUGGAGCCGGCCUUGAAAUACCACCCUUUAAUGUUUGAUGUUCUAACGUGGACCCGUGAUCCGGGUUGCGGACAGUGUCUGGUGGGUAGUUUGACUGGGGCGGUCUCCUCCUAAAGAGUAACGGAGGAGCACGAAGGUUGGCUAAUCCUGGUCGGACAUCAGGAGGUUAGUGCAAUGGCAUAAGCCAGCUUGACUGCGAGCGUGACGGCGCGAGCAGGUGCGAAAGCAGGUCAUAGUGAUCCGGUGGUUCUGAAUGGAAGGGCCAUCGCUCAACGGAUAAAAGGUACUCCGGGGAUAACAGGCUGAUACCGCCCAAGAGUUCAUAUCGACGGCGGUGUUUGGCACCUCGAUGUCGGCUCAUCACAUCCUGGGGCUGAAGUAGGUCCCAAGGGUAUGGCUGUUCGCCAUUUAAAGUGGUACGCGAGCUGGGUUUAGAACGUCGUGAGACAGUUCGGUCCCUAUCUGCCGUGGGCGCUGGAGAACUGAGGGGGGCUGCUCCUAGUACGAGAGGACCGGAGUGGACGCAUCACUGGUGUUCGGGUUGUCAUGCCAAUGGCACUGCCCGGUAGCUAAAUGCGGAAGAGAUAAGUGCUGAAAGCAUCUAAGCACGAAACUUGCCCCGA